AAUUCUAAUGUCUAUAUUCAUAAUUUAAUCAGUAAAUAAAUUGAAUCAUACAUAAAAUGCAUCUUCAAAAAUAUAUACAUUUUUCAAAUAUAUGAAAACAAAAGAAACGCGAAAGUUAGUAAGAACCUUGAACAAGAAAACUUUUAGUUUGAGUCACUAGGGAUUUUUACAUUAUGUCAACACUUAUAAGGUCAUUAUAAAUCAAAUAAUUGUUGAGGCGGCACAGUGUUCGAUAUUUUUAAGAUUUUAAUUUGUUUGUUGUGUUUAUCCGUUUGUAUAAAAGCCCAGAUACAUUUUCUGGUGAAAGAUGUCUGGCGAUGUACAAACAAGAAAACGAAAAGAGAAGAAACGUAAAAAGGAUGAGGAAGAGAAUGUCGUACCUCCCCCUCCUUCUGCAAAUGUUACUGAAAAUUUAACAGAUAACAUAACUUUACAUAUUUAUAAAGAGAGUAGUACCGGUGGGCAUUGGUGUGUCCGGAUUAUAUUUUUCGUAAUAUUGGCAAUACUCGUUGGUUUAAUUGGUGUAAUUAUCUUGGAACAUAGAGGUGUUACGGAUACUGAUACACCGUUAGAAUCAUCACGAUGGGCCUUUAUUUUCGAUGGGUGGGUGGAUGAUUCUUUAUUUUUAUAUAAAGACGAAUCCGAUGAAAAACAACAUGAAAAUGAGGAACAAAUGGAAGAAGAUGAAAAUCAUAAUAUAGAAAUAAAAGCUUCAGAAACUGAUGCUUCUGCUGAAGAAGAAGAAGAACUUGAAGAAGAAAGUGAAGAAGUAAAUGAACAAGAAAACGAGGAAGAAGAAGAAAAUGAAGUAGAAGGAGAAGAAGAAGAUGAUGAAGUAGAAGGAGGAGAAGAUGAAGAUGAAGGAGGCACAGAAGAAGACGAGGAAGAAGGUGAAGAAGAAGAGGAAGCAACUGAAAAUGAAUCAAAUGAAGUAGAAAAUGAUGCUUUUGAAGAUAAAGAAGAAAUAGAAUGGAAAUAUGAAAAUGAAAAAUCUGAGGAAGAAGAAGAAGAAGAAGAAGAAGAAGAAGAAGAAGAAAUGAAUCCACAAAACUUUGAUGAUACUGAUGUAUUAGAAGAAAUUUAUGGCAUUAGUAAAGAAAAAAAUUCAGAUGAAAAAGAUGUAUUAUCUGAGGAAGAUAAUCGGUUUGAUGAACCAUUAGAAAUGCCAACAAAAGAAGAUGUAUUUGAGAGGUUUUUAGACAUUCCUGGUAUUAAUGAAAUUACUGAUGAUAAUAUAGAACCUUUAGAGGAGGUAGAAAAUGUAGAAGUUGAAGAAUAUGUUAAUGAUGUAGAUAUUAAACCGGAAGUAGAGGAAGAAGUAGAAGAAGAAUCUGCUAGUGUGACAAUGAAGUUUGGAGUUGGUGUGGCACUUGUUGUUGCUGCACAUUUUGUCCUUGUGAAACGGUGGAAUCAGGAAGUUAACUUUGUUCAAAAUCAGUCUAAAAUAAUCGAAUCUGAAAAAAGAGAUAUAGAAGAACAAGUACACUUAACAAAAAGGGUAUCUGAAAUAGCACGGAAUGAAAAACAAAAUAAAGAAAAUGAUCAAAAGGAAGAAAAGAAAGUGAAUAAGGAAGAAAUCGUAGAACGAUUUAAAUAUGAAAAAGAUCAAGAGAAACAAGAGGAAGAGGAGUAUCAGGAAGAAGAGGAAGAAGAAGAGGAGUAUGAGGUAGAAGAAGAGGAAGAGGAAGCAGAUGAAGAUGAAGAAAAGGAAAUAAUGAAAAAAGAAAGAAGAGAGAAUAAGAGAAGUAAAGAAACAGAUAAUCAAAUUGAAGAUGAAGAAAAGGUAGAAAUUGAUCUGAACAAGGAACAGGAAUAUGUUACAGAAGAGGAAGAAGAGGAAACGGAAGAAGACGAAGAAGAAGAGGAUGAGGAUGAGGAGGAGGAGGAGGAGGAAGAGGAGGAGGAGGAGGAGGAAGAAGAGGAGGAUGUUGAAAAUUUUGAUGACUCGGAAUUAAUUGCUAAACUAGAAGCUAAAUAUGGAAAACUACCAUCUAAAUAGGGUAAUGAAGAAAGCACAAAUAAGUAUCACUUCUUUCACUACAUUUGAUAGAAUCUAUGGAUACAGUAGCAGGACUUGCAAUCACAACCAAAGUUAAUGAUAAAGUAAAAGCAGAUCAUGUAAUUAACAAAAAUGAUGUAAAG